rnacentral:rRNA from 1 species
CGGCGAGUGAAGCGGCAACAGCUCAAAUUUGAAAUCUGGCCCUUGGGUCCGAGUUGUAAUUUGUAGAGGAUGCUUUUGGUGAGGUGCCUUCCGAGUUCCCUGGAACGGGACGCCAUAGAGGGUGAGAGCCCCGUCUGGUUGGACACCGAGCCUCUGUAAAGCUCCUUCGACGAGUCGAGUAGUUUGGGAAUGCUGCUCUAAAUGGGAGGUAUAUGUCUUCUAAAGCUAAAUAUUGGCCAGAGACCGAUAGCGCACAAGUAGAGUGAUCGAAAGAUGAAAAGCACUUUGAAAAGAGGGUUAAAUAGUACGUGAAAUUGUUGAAAGGGAAGCGCUUAUGACCAGACUUGAGCCCGGUUAAUCAUCCAGCCUUCUGGCUGGUGCACUUGGCCGGCUCAGGCCAGCAUCAGUUCGGCGCGGGGGAUAAAGACUUCGGGAAUGUGGCUCCUCCGGGAGUGUUAUAGCCCGCUGUGUAAUACCCUGUACUGGACUGAGGUUCGCGCAUCUGCAAGGAUGCUGGCGUAAUGGUCAUCAGCGACCCGUCUUGAAACACGGACCAAGGAGUCGUCUUCGUAUGCGAGUGUUCGGGUGUCAAACCCCUACGCGUAAUGAAAGUGAACGCAGGUGAGAGCUUCGGCGCAUCAUCGACCGAUCCUGAUGUUCUCGGACGGAUUUGAGUAAGAGCAUACGGAGCCGGACCCGAAAGAAGGUGAACUAUGCCUGUAUAGGGUGAAGCCAGAGGAAACUCUGGUGGAGGCUCGCAGCGGUUCUGACGUGCAAAUCGAUCGUCAAAUAU